rnacentral:rRNA from 1 species
GUGCCAGCCGCCGCGGUAAUACCGGCAGCCCAAGUGAUGGCCGAUCUUAUUGGGCCUAGAGCGUUCGUAGCUGGCCGCGCAAGUCCAUCGGAAAAUCCACCCGCCCAACGGGUGGGCGUCCGGCGGAAACUGUGUGGCUUGGAACCGGAAGGCUCAGAGGGUACGUCCGGGGUAGGAGUGAAAUCCCGUAAUCCCGGACGGACCACCGAUGGCGAAAGCACUCUGAGAAGACGGCUUCGACAGUGAGGGACGAAAGCUAGGGUCUCAAACCGGAUUAGAUACCCGGGUAGUC